AUACAUAGGCAGGCGACACCGCGUGCACGCCCUCCGCCUCCCCAAUCCGUCCCGUCUCCUCGCCCGCCGCCCUCGACUCUCGUCUCCUCGCCUGCCGCUGGCGCCGAUCUCCAUCCUGCUAGCAGAGGCGGCGCCGGCGUCCUCCUCCUGCUCCCGCCGCAUUCGCUCACCGGUGAGCAUCCUAAUCCAUCCCAUCCGGCCUCGGCCUCGGCCUCGAAUUUCGUCUCCUCGCCCGCCGCUUGCGCCGAUCCCCAUCCUGCGAGCAGAGGUGGCGCCCGGCGUCCUCUUCUAGCUUCCACCGCAUCGUCGCUCGCCGGUUAUAAAUUGAAACCAUUGAACGUACUUUGUCUUCCCGUCCCUAAAACAUUGUGA
rnacentral:lncRNA from 1 species